CGGGAUUUAGCGCAGUUGGUAGCGCACACGUCUGGGGGGCGCGAGGUCGCUGGUUCGAGUCCAGUAAUCCCGACCA
rnacentral:tRNA from 4 species